rnacentral:rRNA from 1 species
AGCCUUCCGAAAGGGAGAUUAAUACACCGUAACAUAAUGAAGUGGCAUCACUUUAUUAUUAUAGCUCCGGCGGUUUUGGAUGGGCGUGCGCCUGAUUAGAUAGUUGGUAGGGUAACGGCCUACCAAGUCUACGAUCAGUAACUGGUGUGAGAGCACGACCAGUCACACGGGCACUGAGACACGGGCCCGACUCCUACGGGAGGCAGCAGUAAGGAAUAUUGGUCAAUGGACGAAAGUCUGAACCAGCCAUGCCGCGUGAAGGAUGAAGGCCCUCUGGGUUGUAAACUUCUUUUAUCUGGGACGAAAAAAGGGCUUUCUAGCUCACUUGACGGUACCAGAGGAAUAAGCACCGGCUAACUCCGUGCCAGCAGCCGCGGUAAUACGGAGGGUGCAAGCGUUAUCCGGAUUUACUGGGUUUAAAGGGUGCGUAGGUGGGUUGAUAAGUCAGUGGUGAAAUCUUCGAGCUUAACUCGGAAACUGCCAUUGAUACUAUCAAUCUUGAAUAUCCUGGAGGUAAGCGGAAUAUGUCAUGUAGCGGUGAAAUGCUUAGAUAUGACAUAGAACACCCAUUGCGAAGGCAGCUUACUACGGGAUUAUUGACACUGAGGCACGAAAGCGUGGGGAUCAAACAGGAUUAGAUACCCUGGUAGUCCACGCCCUAAACGAUGGAUACUCGACAUCAGCGAUACACUGUUGGUGUCUGAGCGAAAGCAUUAAGU